rnacentral:lncRNA from 1 species
UGCCUCUGUGACCUUCCAGGACCCUUCCAACCUCCCCAUGCCUCUGUGACCUUCCAGGACCCUUCUACCCCAUGCCUCUGUGACCUUCCAGGACCCUUCCACUCAAAUCCUCUGUGACCUUCCAGGACCCUUCCACCGCAUACCUCUGUGACCUUCCAGGACCCUUCCACCCCAUACCUCUGUGACCUUUCAGGACCCCAACCUCUCCGUACCUCUGUGACCUUCAGGACCCUUCCAACCACCCCAUACCUCUGUGACCUUCCAGGAC